UGCUUGGGAGUGGGGAGGCGGGGGGGCAGUCUAUGAAUGAGCCAAUACACCCUAGAAGAGUUGGGACCAGUUCAGUCGGUCUUUUGUAGAGAAUGAACGUUCACCUUUGGAAGGAGGUCCCCUGAGCAGAAUCAGAAUGUAGUGUCCCUGCCAGGUUGCUCUCUUGCCUUGCAGAGGACACAGAAGCCCUGCCCUUCUGUUCACACUCACAAGAGCCCCUCUGGGUGAAGCUUCCUCCUGCUGGCAUUGCCAUGGCCACCAAGCUCCUCUGCUGUGUGGCUCUGUGUCUCCUGGGAGUAGGGCCCACAGAUGCUGGAGUCACCCAGACCCCUAGGCAUGAGGUGACAGAAAAGGGACAGGCGGUCACUCUGAGUUGUGAGCCGAUUAAAAGCCACGCUGCCCUUUUUUGGUACAGACAGACCUCGGUGCGGGGACUGGAGCUGCUAAUUUAUUUCAACAACCAAGCUCCUAUCGACGAGUCGGGGAUGCCCAAGGACCGAUUCUCAGCUAAAAUGCCUAACGCGUCGUUCUCCACUCUGAAGAUCCAGCCCACAGAUCCUGGGGACUCGGCCACGUACCUCAGUGCCAGCAGCAAAGACACAGCACUGCAGAGUCGCCCCGUCCCGAGCAGAAAACCUCUGCUUCCCCUUCCGGCUCAGCCCCUAGCUCAUCAGCUGUCUUCUUAGGCUCCUCCCCUAGCAGCCCAGCGGUUCAGCUUUCUAUGACCCUAGGGAAGGCAAGAAUAGAAUGAAACAACCCAUCACAUUAGGAAAUAUUUGGAGGGAAGGCAGGAGAGGGCUUGGUUUCUGGCAUUUCUCACAACUUUUUCACAGAGGGUGACAGUUCACUUGAUGUUGUCAUUGUUCAGUCACUCAGUCAUGUCCGACUCUUUGCGACCCCAUGGAUUGCAGCAUGCCAGGCU